rnacentral:rRNA from 1 species
GACGAACGCUGGCGGCGUGCCUAAUACAUGCAAGUAGAACGCUGAAGGAGGAGCUUGCUUCUCUGGAUGAGUUGCGAACGGGUGAGUAACGCGUAGGUAACCUGCCUGGUAGCGGGGGAUAACUAUUGGAAACGAUAGCUAAUACCGCAUAAGAGUAGAUGUUGCAUGACAUUUGCUUAAAAGGUGCAAUUGCAUCACUACCAGAUGGACCUGCGUUGUAUUAGCUAGUUGGUGGGGUAACGGCUCACCAAGGCGACGAUACGUAGCCGACCUGAGAGGGUGAUCCGCCACACUGGGACUGGGACACGGCCCAGACUCCUACGGGGAGCAGCAGUAGGGAAUCUUCGGCAAUGGAGGGAAGUCUGACCGAGGAACGCCGCGUGAGGGGAGAAGGUUCUCGGGUCGGAAAGCUCUGUUGUAAGGGAAGAAAGAGUGUGAGAGUGGAAAGUUCACACUGUGACGGUACCUUACCAGAAAGGGACGGCUAACUACGUG